rnacentral:rRNA from 1 species
CGCAAUCGCCUCCUUCYCUGGAGGGGCUGUGUUUAUUAGAUACAAAACCAACCCAGUCCUGGUGAUUCAUAGUAACCGAACGGAUCGCAKUUGGCCCGCGAURGAUCUUUCAAGUUUCUGACCUAUCAGCUUUCGACGGUAGGGUAUUGGCCUACCGUGGCAGUGACGGGUAACGGGGAAUUAGGGUUCGAUUCCGGAGAGGGAGCCUGAGAAACGGCUACCACAUCUAAGGAAGGCAGCAGGCGCGCAAAUUACCCAAUGAAAACAGUUUCGAGGUAGUGACGAGAAAUAACAAUACAGGGCAUUUUAUGCUCUGUAAUUGGAAUGAUGGGAAUGUAAAACCCUUUCAGAGUAACAAUUGGAGGGCAAGUCUGGUGCCAGCAGCCGCGGUAAUUCCAGCUCCAAUAGUGUAUAUUAGAGUUGUUGCAGUUAAAAAGCUCGUAGUUGGAUUUCUGUCGUGGUCAUCUGGCUCUGCCCGUAGUCUGGGCCUGCAUGSCCUCSGCUUUCUCCCAGUGCGCGCUUCACUGCGUGUGKUUCUGGRGCUUUUACUUUGAGAAAAAUAGAGUGUUUCAAGCAGGCUUGUCGCCCUGAAUACUUCAGCAUGGAAGAUAGGACCUCGGUUCUAUUUUGUUGGUUUCUAGGACCAAGGUAAUGAUUAAUAGGGACAGUUGGGGGCAUUCGUAUUUAACUGUCAGAGGUGAAAUUCUUAGAUUUGUUAAAGACGAACUACUGCGAAAGCAUUUGCCAAGGAUGUUUUCAUUAAUCAAGAACGACAGUA